rnacentral:tRNA from 1 species
GGAGAUGUGGCUGAGCGGCUUAAAGCGCUGGUUUGCUAAAUCAAUCUAUAUGUUAAUAUAGCGUGGGUUCGAAUCCUACCAUCUCCU